CCUACGGGAGGCAGCAGUGGGGAAUAUUGGACAAUGGGCGAAAGCCUGAUCCAGCAAUGCCGCGUGAGUGAUGAAGGCCUUAGGGUUGUAAAGCUCUUUUACCAGGGAUGAUAAUGACAGUACCUGGAGAAUAAGCUCCGGCUAACUCCGUGCCAGCAGCCGCGGUAAUACGGAGGGAGCUAGCGUUGUUCGGAAUUACUGGGCGUAAAGCGUGCGUAGGCGGUUAUUCAAGUCAGAGGUGAAAGCCCGGGGCUCAACCCCGGAACGGCCUUUGAAACUAGAUAACUAGAAUCUUGGAGAGGUUAGUGGAAUUCCGAGUGUAGAGGUGAAAUUCGUAGAUAUUCGGAAGAACACCAGUGGCGAAGGCGGCUAACUGGACAAGCAUUGACGCUGAGGUACGAAAGCGUGGGGAGCAAACAGGAUUAGAUACCCUGGUAGUCCACGCCGUAAACGAUGAUAACUAGCUGUCCGGGCACUUGGUGCUUGGGUGGCGCAGCUACGCAUUAAGUUAUCCGUCCGUCGGGUAGGUACGGUCGCGAGAAUUAAACUACAAUAGAAUUAGUACGGCGUGAGACGUCGCCGAACGGACGACGACGAGGGAGGUAGG
rnacentral:rRNA from 1 species